CGGAGGAGGUGGCCCAGGAGGCUGUUGAGGAGCCGCUGGUCGAGCCGCUGCUGGAGCCAGAGGGGGAGAGCUACGAGGAGCCCCCGCAGGAGGAAUACCAGGAAUACGAGCCAGAGGCAUAAUGGACCCCCGUCCUCGCCUCUUCCACCAGCAGCACAACGAACCGCCGGUAGCCCCCUGCUCCUCCCCAGUCGGCCCCGGCUGGUGCCCACGUGCCGGGGAGGAGCAGGAGUGCCCCUGCCCCGUUCGCUCACGAGUUCUUCCUCCAGUUCCGUUCCAAGGGACUGUGUCCAUGUCUCCGUACCAUGUCUAGCAGUGAGAAAAACCCGCCGUGUCCAAGCCCCCAAGCCCUGGCGCGUGCCCGAGCCGUGGGCAUUGCCCGCAGGGGCUGGUGUGCGUGUGUGCGUGCGUGUGUCCGUGAAGCCCGGGUUUAUCGCUCUGUAUCCCUCCCAGCGCCAUAAACCCCGGCUGCGUCCUGGUGUCUGUGUCUGUACAAAGCAUGUUUACCUGCUCGCGGGCUGCUGUACAUUUAGCUUGCACGCGUGUCCUUGUGGUUCUGCUCUGGUCAUUGUGGAACUAUUUUUUUUUAUAUAUAUCUCUCUAUCUAUGGGUGGACGGGUCUUUUGCCUUUGUGAACCCUUGGCGCCCAAGCCUCCCCAGCCUGCUGGGUGGUGACGGUGCCCGCACCCCCCUCGAGGUCCCAUAGUGCCGACGCUGUGUUGUGACGUGGCAUGGAUAUCCCCCCACCCCCGUCGCUGGAUGUGCAAUACGAGGGCAGCUGCCAGUGACACAGCUGCCCCCGUGUCCGUGAAUAAAGCCAACUCUUGUCUGUA